GCGCCCGUAGCUUAAUUGGAUAGAGUUCCUGGCUACGAACCAGGCGGUUGGGGGUUCGAGUCCCUCCGGGCGCG
rnacentral:tRNA from 1 species